GCUGGCGGCGUGCCUAAUACAUGCAAGUCGAGCGAAUGGAUUAAGAGCUUGCUCUUAUGAAGUUAGCGGCGGACGGGUGAGUAACACGUGGGUAACCUGCCCAUAAGACUGGGAUAACUCCGGGAAACCGGGGCUAAUACCGGAUAACAUUUUGAACCGCAUGGUUCGAAAUUGAAAGGCGGCUUCGGCUGUCACUUAUGGAUGGACCCGCGUCGCAUUAGCUAGUUGGUGAGGUAACGGCUCACCAAGGCAACGAUGCGUAGCCGACCUGAGAGGGUGAUCGGCCACACUGGGACUGAGACACGGCCCAGACUCCUACGGGAGGCAGCAGUAGGGAAUCUUCCGCAAUGGACGAAAGUCUGACGGAGCAACGCCGCGUGAGUGAUGAAGGCUUUCGGGUCGUAAAACUCUGUUGUUAGGGAAGAACAAGUGCUAGUUGAAUAAGCUGGCACCUUGACGGUACCUAACCAGAAAGCCACGGCUAACUACGUGCCAG
rnacentral:rRNA from 1 species